UACAGAGGUCUCAAGCGUUGUUCGGAUUCAUUGGGCGUAAAGGGUGCGUAGGCGGCGCGGUAAGUCGGGUGUGAAAUCUCGGAGCUUAACUCCGAAACUGCAUUCGAUACUGCCGUGCUUGAGGACUGGAGAGGAGACUGGAAUUUACGGUGUAGCGGUGAAAUGCGUAGAUAAUCGUAAGGAAGACCAGUGGCGAAGGCGGGUCUCUGGACAGUUCCUGACGCUGAGGCACGAAGGCCAGGGAGCAAACGGG
rnacentral:rRNA from 1 species